rnacentral:rRNA from 1 species
GAAACGGUCCGCCGCCGGAGGACGUGACUGCGGCCGAUUAGGUAGACGGUGGGGUAACGGCCCACCGUGCCGAUAAUCGGUACGGGUUGUGAGAGCAAGAACCCGGAGACGGUAUCUGAGACAAGAUACCGGGCCCUACGGGGCGCANCAGGCGCGAAACCUUUACACUGCACGCCAGUGCGAUAAGGGGACCCCGAGUGCGAGGGCAUACAGUCCUCGCUUUUCGUGACCGUAAGAAGGUCUCAGAAUAAGAGCUGGGCAAGACCGGUGCCAGCCGCCGCGGUAAUACCGGCAGCUCGAGUGAUAGCCACUAUUAUUGGGCUUAAAGCGUCCGUAGCCGGCCGAACAGGUCCGUCUGGAAAUCCACCCGCUCAACGGGUGGACGUCCGGCGGAAACCAGUCGGCUUGGGGCCGGGAGACCAGAGAGGUACGUCCGGGGUAGGAGUGAAAUCCCGUAAUCCUGGACGGACCGCCGGUAGCGAAAGCGUNUCUGGAGAACGGACCCGACGGUGAGGGACGAAAGCUUGGGUCUCGAACCGGAUUAGAUACCCGGGUAGUCCAAGCUGUAAACGAUGCUCGCUAGGUGUGGCGUUGGCUACGAGCCAGCGCUGUGCCGUAGGGAAGCCGAGAAGCGAGCCGCCUGGGAAGUACGUCCGCAAGGAUGAAACUUAAAGGAAUUGGCGGGGGAGCACUACAACCGGAGGAGCUUGCGGUUUAAUUGGACUCAACGCCGGACAUCUCACCGGCACCGACAGUGUGCAGUGACAGUCAGUCUGAUGGGCUUACUUGAGCCACUGAGAGGAGGUGCAUGGCCGCCGUCAGCUCGUACCGUGAGGCGUCCUGUUAAGUCAGGCAACGAGCGAGACCCGCGUCCCUAAUUGC